UUUUUUUUGAGACAGCGUCUUGCUCUGUCACCCAGGCUGGAGUGCAGUGGCGUAAUCACAGCUCACUGCAGCCUCGACCUCCUGGGCUCAAGUGAUCCUCCCACCCCAGCCUUCCAAGUAGCUGGGAGCACUCCCAAGUAGCACUAUCAUGUCCAGCUAAUUUUUUAACUUUUUAUAGAGACAGGGUCCCCCUAUGUUGCCCAGGCUGGUCUUCAACUCUUGGCCUUAAGUGAUCCUCCAGCCUCAGCCUCCCAAAAUGUUGCAAUUACAGGCAUGAGCCACUGUGUCCCCCACUCACCAGAUAUGUUUUAAGUUUAAUAGUACCAUGUCAACAAUGAUUAGGAGAAGUGGGUGUCCUCACAUAAUACUGGCAGAAAAAACAAUGCCACUGUGGAUGACAAUUUGACUCAGUCAAAAAUUUUAAAUGUAUACAUCAGAUGAUGUGAACAUUUCACUUCUAAUAUCAAACCAUAGAUAUUUUAUCCAAAUACAAAAAGGGGCAUGUUUGAAAAUGUUAAUUAUUUGUUAUAGCAACAAAUGGAAACAACUUUAAUGUCAUAUCAUAAAGAAAUGGUCACAUCAACUAUAAUAUAUCCAUUUGAUGGAAUUCUAUGUAAUAGUUUAAAAGAAUAAGGUAGAUGUAUUUGUACCAAUAUGGAAAGAUUACAUUUAUUGUUGAUUAAAAGAAGCUAACUAUAAAAAUAACACUAUUUUUUAAAUGUGCAACUACCCCAUGCCUCAUGUCAAACAAAAAAAUCAAUUAACUCUAGGAAGACUAUAAAUACAAACGUAAAAGUCAACACAAAAUUCUAGAACAUAGGAAAUUAUCUUCUUGGCACUGAGUUAGGGAAAAAUUUUUUAAAACAGAACACAAAAUGUAUAAUCUGUAUGGUAAAGAUUAAAAGAUUAAUAAACUGGAGUUCAUUCAAUUAAGAACUUCUGUUCAUCAGGAAGAUGUGUUUAAUAGAACAAAAGAUCAAUUAUAAACAUCUUCUACUCUGUGUAUUGCAACACACACAACCAAGUAAGAACUCUUACCCAGAAUGUAAGGAACUCCUACAACAUUCACACACUAGUAGACAUAACUACUUUGGAAAACUGGCAUUAUCUAUUGAAGCUGAACAUACACAUAUCCUAUGACUCAGCAAAUUCUCUCCUGGGUGUGCUCCAGACAGAAAUACAUGCAUGUGUACACCAAAAGACUUACACAAGGAUUUUCACAGCAGCCUUUUUCAAAUAAUAAUGCAAACUGUAAACAACCUAAAUGACUGCCCCUGGGAAGGAGUGAAAGUCUGGAAGAGGGAUGACGGGAAUCUUUGGAGUAUUAGAAAUGUUCUAAUUUUUGACCUGGGUGCAGGUUACAUGAAUAUUUAGUUGUACAUUUCUGUGUGCAGUUUUGUACAUGUUUGCAAUAUUUAAUAAAACUAAUUUAAGUUAUAAAUAGAUAUAUAUACCCAACAAUUAGAAAACAAUUAGAACAACUGAUUCUCUGUUAAUGAUAUUAAAACACUGUUUAUUUGGCUGGGUGUGGUGGCUCAUGCCUGUAAUCCCAGCACUUUGGGAGGCCAAGGCAGGCGGAUUAUUUAAGGCCAGGAGUUCAAGACCAGCUUGGCCAACACGGCAAAACCUCAUCCCUACUAAAAAUACAAUAAUUAGCUGGCCAUGGUGGUGCGCACCUAUAAUCCUAGCUACUUGGGAGGCUGAGGCAGAAGAAUCACUUGAACCUGGAAUGUGGAGGGUGCAGUGAGCCGAGAUUGUGCCUCUGCACUCCAGCCUGGACACAAAGCAAGACUCUGUCUCAAAAAAAAAAUUAUUUUUUAGAAGUCAUUAGGUAUGAUAAUGGUACUAAAUGUGUAUUUUAAGAGUCCUUCUAUUUUAGAGAUGUAUACUGAAAUAUCUAUAGUGAAAGGAUAUUAUGUCAGAUUAUCUUCAAAAUAAUCCAUGGGAAAGUGAGGGAAAAGGUAAAAGAGGUAUAGUUGAAACAGCAUUGACUAUGAG
rnacentral:lncRNA from 1 species